GGUCAGUGUAACCUUAUUUCUUUUCCAGCCCUUUCCCCCAGACUGAAACAGCUUAUGACUGAAAUUGUUUCUGACUUAUGAAGCUGUUUCUGGUUUAUGGCAAUCAUAGGUUUCUGGAUAUUGAAGCAGGUGGCUAUUCCUGGAAAGCUGAAGUAGGUCGAGCUAGUGAGAUGUUCUGACAGUUCUAUAAUUUCAAACUCUGAGACCAUAAUCUAGAAACAUUUCUCAGAAGGUUCUCAGGAAAAGCAUCCUGUGAACCUUUAUCUGGAAGAAAGCUUCAGCCACAGUCUGGAACCAGGUAAACUUCACAUGCACAGGAGGGAAGUUUUAAAGAAGUAAAAGUGUGAAAAGCAUCAAUACUUAUAGUGAUUGACUUGCCUGUGUGCAUCAGCAUUUAAUUAUCAUAAUACUGUACUGUCUUCGUAUGUAUCUUUCUAAUAGGAAAGAAAUUUCAUUCUGUGUUUAAAACAGAAGUGACCAAACCAUGUUGUGUUUGAAGAAGAAAAAUACAACCCUUUGCCAAGACUUUGCAGGAGUCAAAUGACCACAGACCUUCCGUUCUUCCCCACAGAUAUUUUUUCUCCUGGCCAAAUGACAGAGCACAAGCCAGGAAUCUAAUAUAUAGCAGAAUUACUGAGUAAACAUUAUGGCUCUCCAUUUAAAAGGCCUGGAAAUUUUUGUGUGAAGUGCAUUCAUUUUGGUCUGGUUUUUGCAGUCUCUUAGCAGCCAGUGGUAUGAUUAAAUAUACUCCCUUCCAGAAAACAUUUUCUAGAUCCAUUCCAACAAUGAAGCUGUUGAUGCCUUCAUACCCCCCAUUCUGAGCCCAAACCAUACCUCACAUACGCGAUUAUGAUGCUGGUAACUCCAUCUGACAUAUGCCGGGGAUAUUCAUGAGGUAUGUGGGGUUACCAAGGCUCUGUGUAGGCUGCAGGAAAGCACUGCCUUGAGCAAUACAUCUUUCAUAACGGCUUUCUGAGCCUAGGUGUUAGUGUGAUUAGCAGGUGAUGGACACUGGCUGUGUGGAUCUCAGCCGCAGCAUGUUCAUAGCUGCCAAGUUUCUGGUGGCAAUAGAAGCCAGGUUUUUAGCCAUAAGUAAUCACCAACUUCUUCAAGAGCUGAGAAAUUCACAUAGUAUUGCCCAGAAAUAUCUGUUAAUUACUAAUUGUGAGAGAAUUGCUAGACAGUCUGGAUACCUAAUGAAAUACAUGACAUCUGAUUUUGAGAAAUCAGGCACCCCCAAGUGAUGGGUAUGUGACAUGAAUGGCACUAUUUUCCCAUAGGGAUAACCAUUUUCCUAUUAAUGGGAAUGUGGGUGUGCUGAUCAAUGAAAAGCACCAGGAAAAGCACGCUGUCAUUAAGGAGACACCCUUACCUCACCAUCCCUGAAUCAUCAUGGUGUCAAUCCCUACAAAAACUUUAUAAAACUUACUAAUGUUUUUCUUUGUUGUUAUGUCCUAAAAGUGGCAUGCAGAAAGAGCAGUAUCAUACAGUACAAGAAUGCAAUAGGUUAUUCAGUAUCAAGACAAUGCUAACAGUAUGUGGCUAUUUAGUUGUUAUAUGUUAGAAAACAAAUUAAAAGGACCUUAAUUAUUAUAAGAGCCUGCAAUAUCUCUUGUCUGAUGAGAAAUACUGUCUUGCAGAAACCAUGACCGCCCUGGAUUUGUGAUAACCUUAAGGCUGACAGUUUUGGGAGUGUUGUGCAAUCCUUCUGUACUUGUUAUUUACCACACAAAUUUGCUGCAUGCUUCCAAUGAUGACGUUCCCUGAUUGUAGUUAGAAAGAAAACCAAGUUAAGACAUAUGCAUAUGGUUGCUACUCCCUCUUUUAGACAAUUCCCUACCAACUUGGUAUUUUUUAGUUAUCCAGAUCUUUAUUCAGCUUAAAUUUUCUUCAUCUACUUUCAAAUAAAUUGAGCAAAAAGGUUACCCCUCAGUGAGAUCUGAUUAGCAAAAUGUCAUUUAAUUUUGGUUUGGGUUUUUUUUUCCUACUAACAAAUGGAGACUAUUGAUCUGAGGUCCAUGAAGUACAAGGAACACAGUCUUGCCUACAGAGUUGUUCGUCAUUGCAAAGCUGGACUUCAGCACACUGUCCUGAAUUAGCCCUGAGAUUUGCCAAGGGUUUUGGAAUGAUUUUCUGUAGAAUCUGUUUAACUGUAUUGUGCUAAGACUUUUUUGUCUUAUGUGUAGAGGUAUGAAGCCAACUGUUUGUUACUAAAUAUUGAACAGACUAAAUACAAUUAUGAGUAAGAAACUUCUGUUAAUAAUUUACAUGAUUUUGAUGAGGGCUUUGAGAGUGAAUGUCAAGUGUUAAUAUGGCUGGAAGUUUGAUAUAAAAAGGUUCUUAUGUUCCUUAUUGGUACACUUACAGCUACAAUUUACUAAUGUUGAUGUCAAUGACUUAAUUUCAAAGAAAGUAAAGAUCCCCAAACUAAUCAAAAUAAUUAUAUUUUAGAAAUAUUCAACAUAACUUUCAAGUUAUAUUUUUCACAGGUAUUUUAAGAGACUAAAGUCUAGAAAUUUGCCAUUUAUAUUUUACUUCUUCUCUAACAGUUUGAGAUUCUGCUGCAAAAGUUUUAAUAAAUCUGUAACUUAAGCACUUUCAUUGGCUUUCUAUAUUUUACUAAGACAUACUAAGGCUGUUGAUUUAAAAAAAUAAAGAAAAAAAUUUAAUGUUUACUGAUUGAUUUGUGUUUCUUUUCACAACUGUACAACUAUUUAGUGUAGCUGAUAUGUUAAAAUCCUCUCAGUUGUCUCGCUAUAAAACAACACAAUUGUAAAAAGUUAAACUCAGGAAACCUUAAAAGUGAAAAGGUAAACAUAUCAAUUCACAAUAUGUUUUUACUCCAUAACAGUAAUCCACAUCUACCAUUUAGGAAGUUGACUUCUCAAACAUUAGCUGCAUUUUCUAUGCGUCUCUAUGAUAGUUUAAAGCAUGUUAACAGUCUCUAGGAAAGCUCUGGUCUUCCUACUGAAGAAAUGCAAAUUCUCCAGGGUUAUAAUCCCUUAUUCCUCCUCUUUUCUGAUGCAGUCUGACAUGUCUAGCUGGAAAGUGUAAGAGUAAACAUGGCAUCAGUAGGAGAAAAGAGAAAUGACAGUGAUGAUAAAUCCAUAAUAAGAAAACUGGUGUUAUGCCAUGUACUGCUUCACCAUACUUUUAUCUCAGGGCAUUGGCAAUAAUAGUUGUAUUAACAGGAUAAUACAGAGUCUUUUUGCUGCUAUGGCUUCCUUGCUUAGUAGAAUAAAUAUUAUUUGUAGAGCAAAACCAACCUUCUUAUCUUCAUGAGGACAGCUUCCUCUGAAGAGGAAAAAGAGAGGUGAGCUAAACUAGCUGCACACAUCAACCCUUUACAUUGGUUGGUGUAUCUUCCAGUGUCCCAGUCACUGAUCCUGCAGCUUCACACCAUACUUGGUUAAAAA